rnacentral:lncRNA from 1 species
AUAUAGGAACUUUUCUUCUGGAACAAUGAAUUCCUCUCUCCAUUUAUACCCUUUUUCGUGAUGCCUGCUUGUGCGGUAAAUGUUUAGAUUUGGCGUCCAUUUUGUGGUAGAAAUAGAAAUGUCCUAAAAGGAAGCCUUGUGGGGCAGGCUGGCGGCUGCAGCUCCCGUUGGACCCCUAGCCUGGGAACUUCCGGAUGCCCACAGGUGCGACCCUAAAAAGCAAAAUAAAAUAAAAGGAAGCCUUGAUUAAGAAAAUUUAGUGACUUAUUUUGUCCAUUCCAGCCCCAUGUGAUUUCCUUCUUCCACCCUCAUCCAAUUUGUCUUCUUUGCCCCAAUUAUUUGCCAUUUAUUAAACAUCCAGCAGCUCAUCUGUGUAUGUGUGUGCCUUGUCUCCCUAUGUAAGAAGAGCUAUCACUUAUAAAGCACUUGCUAUUUGCCAGACACUGUGCUAGGGAAUUAUCUAAUUCUUUCAACAAUCCUCAAAAAUUACAGAUGAGGAAACUGAAUUUAAGUGCUUAAGUAGGUGCCUGAGUUAAAACCACAGUUGUUGAUGGAUCCAGAAUUUGAACCUGGGUCUGUCUCAUCAAAGUCAGUGUUCUUUCUACUCUGUUCUGUCUUUCAAAAAGCUGCUUGCGGAGUUCCCGUCGUGGCUCAGUGGUUAACGAAUCCGACUAGGAACCAAGAGGCUGCGGGUUCGGCCCCUGCCCUUGCUCAGUGGGUUAACGAUCCGGCGUUGCCGUGAGCUGUGGUGUAGGUUGCAGACACGGCUUGGAUCCCGAGUUGCCGUGGCUCUAGUGUAGGCCAGUGGCUACAGCUCCGAUUCGACCCCUAGCCUGGGAACCUCCAUAUGCCGCAGGAGCGGCCCUAGAAAAGGCAAAAAGACACACACACACACACACACACACACACACACAAAGCUGCUUGCUUUGUCAAAUCCUAUCAGUCUAAAAAUUUCCCCAGAAGCUUUUCUGUUUAAUAUGUUUAUUUGAGCUCCAACCCCAGCACAAACACACACAGAGUUGUGAACAUAAUAGGUGUUCAGUAAAUAUGUUGAAUAAAUGGAAGAAAAAAAGGGCACACUGCAGGAGUUCCUGUCAUGGCACAGUGGUAACAAACCUGACUAGUAUCCUUGAGGGUGCAGGUUCGAUUCCUGGCUUUGCUCAGUGGGGUAAGGAUCUGGUGUUGCUGUGAGCCAUGUGGUAGUUUGCGAACGUGGUUCGGAUCUGGCAUGGCUGUGGCUGUGGCGCAGGCUAGGGGUCCAAUCGGAGCUGUAGCCGCCGGCCUACACCAGAACCCCCGCAACAUGGGAUCUGAGCCGUGUCUGUGACCUGCACCACAGCUCACGGCAACGCCGGAUCAUUAACCCACUGAGCAAGGGCAGGGAUCGAACCCGCAACCUCAUGGUUCCUAGUUAGAUUCGUUAACCACUGCGCCACAACGGGAACCCCUAGUCCUCUCUAUUUCUUUCCCAGCAUUCAUAGGUCUGAACAUCAGUUACCCCAUCCUUUGCAGCCUCUAUAGAUAGCCUGGCUAGCCUGGUCCUAACCAGAGGCAGGGAUCCCUAGACCUUUUCAUAUUCUAUGUUAAAGAGUUUUCUCUGGGCUUAUUGAAGUAUAUUUUAGGAGAAGUUGAUCAGUUCUUUGGUGUUAUUACCAUUCAGGUAUAUCUCAAAGACUAUAAAAUUGAGAUUGAACAAGCCAUUAUUUCUUAUCAUGGAGAUGAGAGCACGCAUACUUAAAUGAGGGUAAUAAUGGAAUUGCGGGAUCUUCUUUACUGGGUACUGUUUUUCUUGGCCAUGCCUGACAUGCAGAGUUUCCUGGCCAGGGAUUGAACCCAUGCCACAGCUGUAACCACAGCCACAGCAGUGACAAUGCCAGAUCCUUAAUCUCCUGAGCCACAAGGAAACUCCACUGAGUACUGUUUUGAAAAGUAGGUAGUCAUGAUCAAUCUACGAAGAUUGCGUUAAACUUAGCACUUGCAUUGGGCAAGUUUAAACUGACAGCUGUAACAAGCAGUCUCCAGCUUCCAGAAGCUUUAGAUAAUGAAAGUUUAUUGCUGACUCAUAUAAGAAUAUAGUGCAAGUAUUCUUGGUUAGCCAGCAAUCCCCCACAUAGUACUUCUGAGACCCAAGUUCUUUCCUUAUUACAGUGCCACCUCUUCUAGAUCUUCAGAGUCCCUUCCAUUAAGUUGCAAGAUAAAAAGAGGGAGAUUGGAAGAGCAGAAAGUUUUCAUAGAACAAGCUUAGAUACGUGUCAUUUCCCAUCCUCAUUUUUUUGGCCAGAAUUCAGUCAUAUGGCCCCCACCUAACUGCAAAGAAGGCUAGGAAAACCAGUCUAGCUGAGUGCCCAAUAAGAAAGGGAACCGGGAUAUAGUGAACACACAGCAGUCUCUGCCACAGCUGUACAUAUGCACUUCCCAUCUAGCAUCAUGGUUUUAGCAGCACUCUGUAAAAAAAAAAAAAAAAAAAAGGUUGCUCUUGUUACUUUGGGUAUAUCUGAUACAGUCUAAUUAUCUGAGACUAUGUGGAGCAAAGCAAAGUGUUAAUUGUGGGCUGUGAUAUCUAAGAUAUGACCUCAGUCCCUAAGAAUUCUGUACUAAAAUAGAGUUCUCAGCCAAUUCUAAAAUGGAGACAAGAAGGUAUGGUCUUUUGUUGCAUAAAUCUCGUUAUAUGUCUGCCCUAACUUUAAGCCACUUAAGACUGACCUAAUAAUAUGUCUUUGUGUUUGUGGUUUUCAGUCUGUGCCUGGCAUAUAGUAGGUAUUAUAGAAGUAAUUUUUCAAGGAAACGAAAUAAAGAACCAUGUUGAAGGAGUGCAGAGAAGGAAAAAUUACUUACGACCGGGCAUUGUUAUAAGUUGUUCACUGUACAGUUCUAGGAGGUGCAGUUCACAUUGUUGUCAUUGUGAGUGGCUCUCCUUACAGCUGUGUAAUGACAUGCACAGCUGUAUGUGGCAGCCCUGGACAGAAGAGCCCAGGAAGUGCAUCCCGGAGAACAUGAAAAAUUGAACUGGGCUUUGAGAUAGAUAUACAAAGGAUUUCUAUACAUGAAGAAGGAGAGCAGGGACAUUCCACACUGAGAAAAAGAGCCCAUUCAGAAGCAAGG